rnacentral:rRNA from 1 species
UACAGAGGGGGCAAGCGUUAAUCGGAAUUAUUGGGCGUAAAGGGCUUGUAGGUGGUUCUUUAAGUUCGAUGUGAAAACCCUGGGCUUAACCUGGGACGUGCAUUUAAUACUGGAGAGCUAGAGUAUAGUAGAGGAGAGGGGAAUUCCUGGUGUAGCAGUGAAAUGCGUAGAGAUCAGGAGGAACAUCUGUGGCGAAGGCGCCUCUCUGGACUAAUACUGACACUGAGGAGCGAAGGCGUGGGGAUCAAACAGG